CUCCGUGGUGGAAAACCGGAGAUGAUGCUGACUGUGCUGAAAAAGAAGAGGCAAAGGGUCUCGCAGAACUGCCAGAGU
rnacentral:snoRNA from 1 species